AUGGAGGCGAGUAUGGAUGCGUUGAGCAGGAACAUAUUGUUGGAGGAGGAAGGCAUCGGCGAGGUUGUCCUUUUUCACACACGUUGCGUCGUGAAGGAACGGUGUGUCAAUUUGACGAUCGAUGAAGGUUCCGCGGUCAACAUGGUGAGCAUCGAAGUGGUGGAAAAAUUGGGGCUGAAGAUGGCACCUCUUGAAAGGCCGUACACGCUGAAGUGGUUCAAAGGUGAAAUCAAAAUUACGCAUUGGAUUUUGCUAAUUUUUUAUCUGGGAAAAUAUUGUUGUGCGGAAUUUUUUCACGUUUGCCCCGUGUCCAUGGUGUCAUGCCAUCUACUACUUGGUAAUCCAUGGUGCAGACGUGUUGGCGCUAUUCGGAAUUUCAAGAAAAAUAAUUACUCUCUAUCAUGGAAGGGCCAGCAGAUUUAUUUUAUUCCUAUGCCAGUGGAUCUGUACACUGCAGAUUGGAAAAGUCGUUUGCUUAAAAGAAGAGAAGAGCAAGAAGAUAUAAAGGAAGAAGUCGAUGCACCUACGAAGGGGCUGAAUCUUUUGGUGGAGAAGAUGCAAGAUGAUAGUGGUGCAAAGGGGCAGCGGUGGAGUGUUUUUAAAACACAGUGCAAUAUCAAGAAUCGUGCAUGCAAGAUGAUAAUUGAUGGUGGCAACUUUACCAAUGCCAUUAGCAAAGACCUAGUGCAAACUAUGGGUUUGUCCAUGUGGCGGCAUCCACAGCCGCACCAUGUGGAGUGGUUGUACAAUUCCAGUAAAUUAAAAAUCACACACAAGUUGUUAUUGGGAAGGCCAUGGCAGUUCGAUCGUGAUGCAGUGCAUGCAGGAGAAUCCAACACAUACACGUUCAUGCAUGAUGGAAGGCGCCACACUAAAACCUAUGGCAGAGUCCAUAAUAAAAACAGAAUUUCAGGCUCCCUAAAUGUUGAUUGCACCAAAAAUAGACUUGAAACCGAGGACGGUUUCGUUUGA
rnacentral:rRNA from 1 species